UGAAACAUUAAAUACAAUGGUGAUACACUGUACAAACUAGAGUUGUUGUCUCCUGUAUUUGAAAAUGAAGAGGUCAGUAAUGCCAGUAGUUGAUUUGUUUAGAUACACUGACUCCUUCUCAUGUGGACUAUUUUUAAUACUUCAGUCUAUUGUAAGUUAUUUGGCUCAAUCUGAGCGCUUUAAAACUAUGACCACCCCUAACCAUCAGAAGACCAAUUGCGCUUAAAACUUAUCACUCUCUAUGGUGCUUUUGUUUUUAUUUAGUUAAUGUAGGAGAAUUUAUGAUAUGGAUCCCUUUAAGCUAUUGAGGUGGGAGAAACAACUGAUGAAGCUGAAGGAAAGAAUUCUAGCAGAAGGUUCUAAAGUUGUAUUCCUUCCUAUAAUUGAAAAGUAUAUCCUGAAAAACCAUCAUCGUGUAACAGUUGAAAUGCAGCCUGGUCCAGAGACGGGGAUAAUUAGGCUGUUGAUAAAAAAUCGUUGGAGAAGCUCAAGGCAAGUAUGACGGAGUAAAAACUGGCAGAGUUUGUUCGUGCUAUGCAAGAGUUGCGCUUAAAAUACAAGACUCUAGAUCCACCUAAAGCUUUACGGAGUGUUCCAUGUCUAUUUUUGCAUGACAUCCUGAAGAAUUCCAUUCAUAUUCCCACUGAGAUUGGGAAUAUCAUGGUGUGAGCAUGAAUUAUUCACAAAUAAAGUCAUUUACAUUGAAGUUGUAGAUUUUAUAUGAGUACUCUAAAACAAGAGCUUCUCUAAUAAACUUUAUUUUAGUAAGAUUACUUGCAUAGUGAAGAUUCGUUAAUGACAGUGCAACUGUAUGCUGUCUCUUCUUUUUAAAUUCUUUGUUCAGAUCAAUUAUAAUUUUGAUUUUUUGAUGCAUUCCUUUUGCACAAGAUCAAUAUCUUUCUUAUGAGCUUUAAUUCUUUCCGGCCUCUAUGCAAUCAAUCAUUGUUAGUGAAGGAACAAUGUGCUGAUAUGGACCUUGAAAGGUGCUGAAGUGAAAUAUUAUCAAACACAGAUUAUUCUGACAGGCUCGUCAUAUGGAAAUUGUACUCAGUAAGAGAUACCUCAUCUGAUAAGAUGAAGGGAAUUCUGCAAGAAGAAUCUGUUCAGACAUAAUCCCAGGGCAAACAAUAACCUAUGCUCAUAAUGUCUGAUUCAAGUGCUGGUUUCAGCCUAGAUUUUAAUAAAAUAAAUGAUGGGAUGAUUGCUUACCAGGCUAGCUUAUGAAGAAAGUGAUAAUAAAUGCAAUCUGAGAUCUUGGACAAGCUGUUUUACAUCAAGCACUACCUCAAUGGACUUUGACAAAGCCAGAACCAAAUAAAUAGGCAUAAAUGUUUUAGGGGGGUUUUUAAGGAACAUAGAACAUAUCCUUUGUUCCUUAUGUACUUGGAAACAAGGACAAAGUUAUAUCAGUACUUGUAUGAAAAAAAAAUAACAAAAUAAAGUAUCACCAUAGACUAAAAACUAUGUAAUGUGUUAUGUGUACAAUGUUGCUAGCUUAUAUUGCCUUAGAGCUAGACUUAAAAUCUUUGUACCUGUAU